CCAGCACAGCCUGGGAGACGACCGGCUCCAGCUCCUGUAGGCGGAUCUCCUCGCGCUCCCGGCGGCUGCGCCACGCCUCCAGUGCCACCUGGUUGAUCUGCUCACCGCCAGUAUUGCUGAAAUCAUGGAGGACGCCAGCCAUGGCUCAGGAUGGCCCUUGCUUCCCAUGUGCCACCUAACACGACCUGAGCCUGGGGACCCAGCUCAGGACCAGCAGGAGCCAAAACCCCACUGAAAAUAUACCACAAAACCACUUCCCCUCUCCAGACCCUGUGUCUACAACCAAGACCCCUGGAAAUUCACUGAUAUGUGCCAUGUACUUUAGAGUUUACAAAACACUCUUGGGUCCCUUAAUUGGCUUUCCGUCCCCCAGCCUCUAGGAAGACAGUGAGGCAUUAAUGUUGGCCCUGCUGUGCAGAAGAGGAGAUGAGAGUUCAGAGAGGUGAAGUGAUUUGACCAAGGAAACACAGCCAAGACUCUUAGUAGUGGGACUCGAAUUCUAGUCCUGUUUUUCCCAGGUCUGUGUAUCUCCUGGCCACAAAAGAGGGGAAACCCGUUAACCUAGCAGGCUUCCACAAACACACGGCGAGGAUCCCAAAGGCUGAGCCCCGCAUGGGCUUUCAGAAUGUGAAAAUGGGAACAACAGUGUCCCAGGGGGAGUGUGAGGGGCUUUGGGAAAGCCAGCUGGGAGGAAAGGUAUUCUGCUGUGGGACCACAGGCCAAGACUGGAUGGCUGAGACCUGGGACAAGUGUCCCCCUACCAUCCUGCCGCAGAGCUGGGCCCACCUGAUGAAGAUGAAGAUGGCUUUCCGAUAGUUGGUCCCGAACACGACCCAAGAGGAGCCCAGGAAAGGUCGCAGCACCUCCAUCAGGCUUGGGGCCAGCUUGUCCAUCUCGUCAAAGAGGAAGAGGGAGCGACUGCAGGCUGUGAGGUUCCCCUGCACCCAGCGCUUCAGAUCCUUCUGCAGGUGAGAGGCAGGGAUUUGAGGUGGCCUAGAGAUACUCCUCUAACCCCAGGCUUCUUCCCAAGGCUGGAGCUAAUCCCCUUCCCAGGAGAGGAUGAUCUCCCAGAGAGAACUACCCCUUUCACGGGGCCUGGGGACAAAACGGUGGCCCUGAGAGGCGAGAGACUUGUUCAAGUUCACACAGCGAGUCAGCGAGGCACACAGAGACUCAAGCCAGGCCUUGCAUCCGCCUGUUCAGGACGAGCUCUCGGAUGCUUCCUACUUUCCAUAAAAGGGAAAGAUUCCUUUCUGCCCUCUUAACCUUUCCGCUAAUGUCGCCAGCUGAAGCAGAUCAGCCUAGAAAAGUACCUUGCAAUCAACAAUAAUGAUAGUAAUAAGAGCAACUGUUUCCUGAAUGCUUACCUUUGAGCCUCAAAUCGGGACUCUGCUUUACAGAAAGAAGAUAACGCAGACUGUGUGGCAAAGGAUUUAAAGCAAGAACUCCCUACUGGGUAGAAUGGCACCAUUUCAAGCUCUGUUCACGAUGGGCCCUAAGGGCUGAGGCUCCAACUGGCUGUGUGGCUUGGAGCAAGUGACUCUCCCUCUCUGGACUGAGGACUCAUUCACUCCCUAGGGUCUGGCACCCCAACAUGCAGGCCCUCGGUUCUACCCUCCAGGUCUCGCCCUGGUGCGACCCCAGGGUCCGAGGGCUCCCUGGUCCGCCGGCCCCUCCGCUCCUGCGGCUCCUCACCCUGGAAGUCGGGCUGGAAGUCACAUUCGCAGAAGGCGCCGAAGUGGCAAUGCAGCGAAGUCAGGUCCCACGCGGCGGCCGCGGCCGAAACCAACCCCAGCAACCCGAGGAGCGAGCCCCAGGACCAGCAGCCGCGUGUCGCAGCCGCCAUACGG